UGGGGAAUAUUGCACAAUGGGCGCAAGCCUGAUGCAGCAACGCCGCGUGAACGAUGAAGGUCUUCGGAUCGUAAAGUUCUGUUGCAGGGGAAGAUAAUGACGGUACCCUGUGAGGAAGCCCCGGCUAACUACGUGCCAGCAGCCGCGGUAAUACGUAGGGGGCUAGCGUUAUCCGGAUUUACUGGGCGUAAAGGGUGCGUAGGUGGUCCUUCAAGUCGGUGGUUAAAGGCUACGGCUCAACCGUAGUAAGCCGCCGAAACUGGAGGACUUGAGUGCAGGAGAGGAAAGUGGAAUUCCCAGCGUAGCGGUGAAAUGCGUAGAUAUUGGGAGGAACACCAGUAGCGAAGGCGGCUUUCUGGACUGCAACUGACACUGAGGCACGAAAGCGUGGGUAGCAAACAGG
rnacentral:rRNA from 1 species